UGCAAAAGCAUUGUACCCAGGGUCUGACGGCCAGACAUUGCACCUGGAGCUUUUCUGUUUUGCAAUAAAACAACCA